rnacentral:rRNA from 1 species
AUUGAACGCUGGCGGCAGGCCUAACACAUGCAAGUCGAACGAGUGGCGGACGGGUGAGUAAUGUCUGGGAAACUGCCCGAUGGAGGGGGAUAACUACUGGAAACGGUAGCUAAUACCGCAUACCAUCGGAUGUGCCCAGAUGGGAUUAGCUUGUAGGUGAGGUAACGGCUCACCUAGGCGACGAUCCCUAGCGGGUCUGAGAGGAUGACCAGCCACACGUGAACUGAGACACGGGCCAAGCUCCUACGGGAGGCAUAGUUGGGGAAUAUUGCACAAUGGGCGCAAGCCUGAUGCAGCCAUGCCGCGUGUAUGAAGAAGGCCUUCGGGUUGUAAAGUACUUUCAUCGGGGAGGCGUUACCCGCAGAAGAAGCACCGGCUAACUCCGUGCCAGCAGCCGCGGUAAUAC